rnacentral:lncRNA from 10 species
CAUUUUCCACCCUGACUCAUUCCGAUUACCUGCUCCACCCUGACUCAUUCUCCACCUUGACUCAUUUCAUAACCGUUUUUCCCUCCAAACAACUCACCCUGUCACUCUCUUUAAAUUACUCAAUCAGAAUUAGUUUAGCCUGUACGGUCUAACCCUAGCCAAUAGGGGAAUGACAAAGCAGUAGGGACCAUGUGCAUAAGGAAAAAUAACCCCUUUCCCUCCUUUGUCCAGGUGUGCACUCACCAGUCCUCCAUCUGUAAGGGCAUACCCUUCUAUAGAAGUACCUUGCCCUGCUGAGAAUUAAAAAGAAAAUUUUAUAUUCGAGUGCUAUUUCUUUUGUGGCACCGAAACUUUACUUAUAACAAUUUGGGGGCUCAUCCGGGAUUACAUUCCCCUCCGGGGGUGGUCUCUGGUUCUCUCUUGUGAGGAGGUGCACCCCACCCCACUGUGGCGGCCUCAGGGGUGAGAAAUCAAGACCCACCCAGUGUGAAGAAUAACCUGAGCUCUCAGCUACAUGGAAAGAAACUGGCUAGCAACCUAGCUUAAAGCAUCCUCCAUAAGGGCCACACAAGUGUGUGCAUGGACCGAGGAAAAGACACCAUGGGAGCCGGUAAAGUAUUUCCUUGGUGGUUGGGAGCAAGGUUAAUUAUAUUCUAAAGCAUACCAAGCUCUUCGUGUUUGCUGCUGGAGUGACUGUGUGUUCCCUUGCCCUUAGAUGAAGAAAUGCUUUCAAAACCUCUGAAGAUGCCUGAAUGGUCUGAGGUUCUAAUGGUUUACAUUUUCUUAUCGUUCAUAUGGAUAAAAAUAUGGCUGCAUUCCAACUGUCAAGAUACAUUUGUGUGUUGCCUAUAAAACUAGCUCUUCUGUUUAAAUGAAGAGCAGAUAAAAAGCAUGUAUGCAAUUAGUCUAAUCGGUUCAAUGGCAAAUUACAGAGCAAAGAUUGUGGUAGGAUAAUCUUUCGGAUUAUUCAUUCUGAGUUUAAAAAUGUUUUGGCUUCUAACAGAAAUCCUUUAAUUAUAUGCUAAAGUGGUGAUAACCUCAUUACAAUAGUUUUGCUUAUUCCUCAAAGCAUUUAUUAGUUUACUUCUUUAAAAUUUGAAAGUGACUAUAAAGUUAGGAAGUAAACAUUUUUGAAAGGAUCAAUUAAUGAUUUAAUAAUUUGAAUUGUUCUCCAAAGAUUAGACAUGGCAAUUGAAAAUAAAUGUAGAAAUCUCUUCCCUAUGCUCAUCAAAAUUUUGACAUGUAUUCAUAUGCCUACUUAUAAAGGAGAUUGGCAGCACAUAAUUGAUACCAUCUAGCCUUUAUUUACAGCAAUCAAACAUAAGACCUUGACAACAUUAACAUGCCCUGUGUGCAUGUGUGCACAUACUCAUAUAUACACACACUCAUAUAUACACACCCACACAUAUAACACCCAUACACACACAUACAUAUACACACAUAUACACACAGAUACAUAAACACACACAUACUCUUCACAGUCUUUCUAGGUGAAUCCCCCAAUCUAAAAUGGCCUCCCUCCACACACCCUGUUUGUUUGUAUUAUCUCUAGCUUGCCUUUGCUUUUUGUCAUUGCCCAGGAGUGCCAAAUGCACCCAAUUUCAUCUUCAUUUGUUUAUGGGCUUGUCUAUCUCCCCACUGGAACAGUGCCCAGGGGGGAUAGUGGCUGUUUCUGAAUUGUUCACUGCUGUAUCCUCAGUACCUAGAUCAAUGCACGGCUCACGAUAGGUGCUAAGAAUUUGUUCAGUGAAUAAGUGACUGUUCCCAUUUGGACUUAAGCUUGUGCAGGGAAAAAAACAGACUGCUUUUCCUCUGCUCUCACCCCACAAUCAACACAGAAGACUUCUAUGGCCAAAUGUGUGCAUUUUUCCCCCCAUAUACUAAGCAAUCAAUCUGUUCCACAGCAGAUGCCAGCUGGGAGUCCUCCAGCCCAGGCAGUGCUGAGUCUACUGGAGAUAGCGUCAGACCCCACGGAAUGAAGGCUCAGUCCCACAAGACUGCCUCCACUUCCGGUGCCAAUCGCAAACCCCAGGUUGUUCACUUGUCUUCUGACUGACCAGCUAUAAAUCAGGGAUCCCAUGGAGCCGCUCAUAGAACUCAGGAAAUCUCUUAUGUUUGCUAGUUUAUUACAAAGGACGUUACAAAGACUGCAGAUGAAGAGGUGCACAGGACAGGGCAUGGGAGAGGGGUGUGCCACCCUCUAGGCACCUCCACGUGUUCAGCUGUUUAGGAAAAUCUCUCAAACCCUGUUCUUCCUCUCCUCUCACACCUCAGCAGCCAUCAAUGCAGAAGACUUUUGUGACCUAAUGUGGUGGGGUUGGUUUCUUCACAUAGCAAUCAGUGGACACCAGCUGGGUCCCUCUAAUUCAGUUCUAACGCUAUCUACUUGGAGGUAACCUCAGAUCCCACAGGUUGAGGCUUAGUCCCCAAGACAGCCCGCCUCAGACACCAGUGGCAAGUCCAGGCUCUGAAACUUCUGACUGACUGGCUGGCUAUAAAUUGGGGAUACCAGGACCCUCUUUGGGUUUAAUUUGUUGGAGUGGCACACAGAACUCAGGGGAACACCAACUUGUGUUUACCAGUUUAUUGUAAAGGAUAUUACAAGGAUACAUCCAUCAAGGAUACAGAUAAUGAGAUGCGGAGUGAGGUAUUGGGGAGGGCACAGAGCUUCCACGCCCUCCGUGGGUAUCACGCUCCAGGACCCUACCCAGGCUCAACCACCCGGAAGCUCUCUGAACCCUGUCCUCUUGAGUUUUUAUGGCAGCUUCAUUAUGUAGGCAUGAUUGAUUAAACCAUUGGCCAUUGAUGAUCAACAUAACCUCCAGCUUCUUCCCCUCCCUGGAGAUUAGGAGGUGGGACUGAAAGUCCUAGCCCUCUAAUUGUGCCUUUGUCUUUCUGGUGGCCAACCAUAUCCUGAAGCUAUCAGUAAACAUCAGCAAACAAAAAGACAGCACUUCGAAGUUUCCAAGGAUUUUAGGAGUUGUAUGCCAGGAAAACUGGCGAAGACCAAAUAUAUGUAUUUCAUAAUAUCAUAGCUUCCUUCUCUGAAUUUCUGUAAGACUUUAGCUUCACAUGUGAAAAUAAGUAAUUCAAAAUCUAAGCUACUGAAACUUUGAAAUAUUUCAAGCCUUAAGGAAAUGUGAUUAUGGGAUCUGAGUCAUGCAAACAGGCAGCUGUAAUGUAGGCAGCUGUAAUCUUUAUUUCUCUGAUUAUAGAUUAGCCUUCUUCCUUACCUACAGUGUUUUGUAAAAUGCUGCAAAUGACUAAAGAGUGACAAGAAAGACCCCUUCCCUCUUCACUACUGAUCUUUGUUAUAGAUUAACAUCCUUCUUACCUUUCUCACACAAAGACUUUGGCUAUCACCUUGCCUAAAAUAAAAUGUUAAAUAUACACUUUUAAAUUGGAAACAAAAACUAGCUGUAAAGAAAAGAAAACGUGUCACAUGGAGAAAAAAGCAAACUGCACUAAUUAAAUUUUUGCAACUAAUAAACCAGACUUGCAUAGAAAAUGUUAUAAUCCUACUAAACUUCUUUGUUUUCUGCCUAAUGAGAAAUAAAAAAUAAAAUCCUAAGCCCCCCAUGUGACUAAACAGACUCCCUCUUAGCCAAGAGGACCCUGAAGAAACCUUAAAAAAAACAGCUCUCAGCCAUGACAGUAUAGGAUGUCAGAUGGGCCUCAUGAUAGACCCUCCUUUGCUAAAUGCCAUUAGACUUUCUUUUCCUAAGCUUUAAACAAAAACCAGCCCUCCUGAAAGACUUACUUGACUGCUGAUUUCAACCAAUCACCUGACACUACCCCGGUUUGGUGGACAGCAACUGAUCAACAUUCCUUCCUGGGUAUCGUGCAGCAGUUUUUGGUGUUACUGACGACCAGCUCUGACGAGAGUCUUCGGUUUCUUAGCUUCAGGCUGGACUUCAACGAGCAUUACAAAGCCAGGGAGCCCAGGCUCCGCGUGUCUCUGGGUACCAGGGGGCGGCGCAGCUCCCACACGUGAAGCUCGCGGUCCUCCCAGGGAGCUGCGGGUGAUGUUCGUUGCACUGCUAGACACGAAAUUCCCAUUGACGUCCUGCAGGAACUGCAUGCUGCAGGUGUCCUGCCCUUCCGCCCACGAGUGCGCCAUGUUUCAGCGGAGCGGCGUGUGGGAGAAGCCACGUCGUGUUGCACACGUCGGAGUUGAAUGCAUUUGUAAAUCACUAAGUCAAGUAGGCUGGCUGCACUGUUCACAUUUGUCUCUAAAAGUCUUCAUCCCCAAAAGAUACCAUAAUUUGCUGAGGCUUCUGAAUCUUAAGUGCUCUAAGUUAUAACUUAUAUUUGUCACUUUAAAAGAACUGUUUGUUUAGCAAAAUCUACAGCAAGGGUAUAUUUAUAAAGUGAUAAUGUCAUUGCUGUUAUUUAGCAUCCUCUUCAGAAACUUUUUUUUGCAAUAUUAUUAGAUUAAACUGAAAUACAUAGAAAAUAUAGAGAGCAUUUUAUUAUCUUGGUAUUCAAGGUUGUAAAGUGUGAAAAUUUUUGUAUCUUACAUAUAUCUAUUCUUUUCUCUCUCCUUUCAAGGUUUACACUUACAGAUUUAAUUUACUAUUCUAGAUAACUUCUAAAAUAGUACAGAACACGAGUAGGAGUGUUGUGGAACAAAAACAUCCUUAAACUUAAAUUUCUUGACGCCACCAGCUGAAGCAGUGUGGCAACAGGAAUGACUAGAAAGUUAACAAAGUAUUUUAUUUUUACAAUUUUGAUGAGCAUUAUAAAGAAAUCGAUUUGGAUAAUGAAGGUUUCUUUUUUCUUUGACUAAUUUUUCCUUGUAAAUAUUUAUAUACUAUUGACCAGAUGCUGGGGAGAACGGUGUCUGUAAAAAGUCACGUCAUAUCAGCUUGCCUUUAUUAUGCUGUAUAAGUGAAAACUUAGAAAACUGAAAGCAAUUAUCUUUCAAAGCAUUGGCUGUUUUUUGAAUAGUCUAUUAAGUGACAGUUCAUUUGCCAGGGGGGCGGGGAUUGACAGGAUUUGAUUUAAUGUAGUACAGCAUAUGAAUUAUUUAAUCAUAAUUAGAAACCAAGAAAUUAGAUUUUGUGUGACUUUCGGUGUAGAAGCAAACGCAAUGUCACCACUCAGGUCUCAGGAGCGGUGCUUUAGUUAUCUGAAUCUGCCUCUGACUCCUUUAGGUGUGGAUUCCCUUUAAAACUAAAGGGGCCAUCAAGAAUCCUGGCCAUGCAGAAAUGAUUCCAUGGCAAAGGCCAGAAAUUCUUAGGAUAAAAACUUAAUUUAAUUUUAGUUUUCAAGUUCAUAAAAUCAGAAAUUUGAAACAGAUUUCUCCACUGCAAGUUGUCCUAGAAAUUAUGGCGUAUUGUGUAUCUCCGAGAGAGGUUUACCAAGGUUAUUAACCAUGCAGCCAGCUUUUAUUUUAUUUUAUUCAGAGAGUUGUUCCAGGGAUUAAUCCUCGGUAGAAACCACCCUAGCAAAGGCCCACCUCGAUUUUAGGGAUUACGACUCCAUUGGAGUGUAGGAGUCACCAGGACUUAGGUCAGAUCUGUGGGCUAUGGAGGGCUUCCGGGAGGUGCGGCCCUGGGGGGUGCCUGCGGGUCUGGAGGGUGGGAGCUGGGAUGGGGUGAGGCCUCUGAGGAGCUGCGUGAGACCCACUCUCCGUCAUUGUGGGUGCACAAUCAGGCCCCUUAGGGAGCCAGGGCCCCAAAACCCAGCAUCAGCCAAGCAUGGAUGACUUGGGGGUUCCACACUGGGGUUGUGCGUAAAGGAGAGCUCCUCUCAGGGGUGGGUGCGCCCGGCCCGGGGGUGCCACGUCUUCACCCAGAAAACGAGGCCGAGUCUGCAGGGGCCCUGCUGCAUGGAUGGAGGUGUGGGUGGUUGGUAGGACCCCAGGC